AAACCCAAGCCCCAAAAAGAAGUAUAAGACCUUGCAGUUAGGCGCAUUAGUGGAGCUCUGGAGGAUAGUGAAGAGUCGAUUAGGAAGUGAUAGUGAAGGAGAUGAAUUAGGUCGACCAAAGCCAUGAUUGCAUCGUCUUGGUGGAGAGUUUUGGAUUUUCUAUCCAAUCACUGUAUUUUCAUCAUCCCAUGCCUUCUCCUCUAUAUACCCAUUACUUAGACCCUCUCUAAAAAGAUCCAGAUCCUCACAAAAACUCUCUUCUCCACUCUCUUCAAAUCCAAACCCUUUUUCUCAUUUGCAAUUCCAGUCUAUCGUCUUCUCUUCAUCUCACAAAAUAAAAUGUUUAUAAUUUUUGGUAAAAUCUUAUUUUAAAAAUAUUUCAACGAAGAAGAUGAAGCUGGAAAUGAAGUGAGGAAGAUGAUGAUUAAAAGAUGGAUCAGCAGCAGUUUGUGUAAUGUAGUUAUGUUCUCUUAUUAUGGGUUAGCUACUAGUUUUAGGGAGAAGAAGAUAUUACUAUAUAUGUUUCUCCGCUUAUGUUAACUCGGAUUAUUCAUAUCUCUACUUUAGUUUCUCUCAUGAUAACUUUGGAUUUACUUUGAGCUUUGUUUCUACUUU